rnacentral:rRNA from 1 species
GGGUUGUGAGGUUAAGCGACUAAGCGUACACGGUGGAUGCCCUGGCAGUCAGAGGCGAUGAAGGACGUGCUAAUCUGCGAUAAGCGUCGGUAAGGUGAUAUGAACCGUUAUAACCGGCGAUUUCCGAAUGGGGAAACCCAGUGUGAUUCGUCACACUAUCAUUAACUGAAUCCAUAGGUUAAUGAGGCGAACCGGGGGAACUGAAACAUCUAAGUACCCCGAGGAAAAGAAAUCAACCGAGAUUCCCCCAGUAGCGGCGAGCGAACGGGGAGCAGCCCAGAGCCUGAAUCAGUGUGUGUGUUAGUGGAAGCGUCUGGAAAGGCGUGCGAUACAGGGUGACAGCCCCGUACACAAAAAUGCACAUAUUGUGAGCUCGAUGAGUAGGGCGGGACACGUGGUAUCCUGUCUGAAUAUGGGGGGACCAUCCUCCAAGGCUAAAUACUCCUGACUGACCGAUAGUGAACCAGUACCGUGAGGGAAAGGCGAAAAGAACCCCGGCGAGGGGAGUGAAAAAGAACCUGAAACCGUGUACGUACAAGCAGUGGGAGCACAGAGCAAUCUGUGUGACUGCGUACCUUUUGUAUAAUGGGUCAGCGACUUAUAUUCUGUAGCAAGGUUAACCGAAUAGGGGAGCCGAAGGGAAACCGAGUCUUAACUGGGCGUUAAGUUGCAGGGUAUAGACCCGAAACCCGGUGAUCUAGCCAUGGGCAGGUUGAAGGUUGGGUAACACUAACUGGAGGACCGAACCGACUAAUGUUGAAAAAUUAGCGGAUGACUUGUGGCUGGGGGUGAAAGGCCAAUCAAACCGGGAGAUAGCUGGUUCUCCCCGAAAGCUAUUUAGGUAGCGCCUCGUGAAUUCAUCUCCGGGGGUAGAGCACUGUUUCGGCAAGGGGGUCAUCCCGACUUACCAACCCGAUGCAAACUGCGAAUACCGGAGAAUGUUAUCACGGGAGACACACGGCGGGUGCUAACGUCCGUCGUGAAGAGGGAAACAACCCAGACCGCCAGCUAAGGUCCCAAAGUCAUGGUUAAGUGGGAAACGAUGUGGGAAGGCCCAGACAGCCAGGAUGUUGGCUUAGAAGCAGCCAUCAUUUAAAGAAAGCGUAAUAGCUCACUGGUCGAGUCGGCCUGCGCGGAAGAUGUAACGGGGCUAAACCAUGCACCGAAGCUGCGGCAGCGACGCUUAUGCGUUGUUGGGUAGGGGAGCGUUCUGUAAGCCUGUGAAGGUGUGCUGUGAGGCAUGCUGGAGGUAUCAGAAGUGCGAAUGCUGACAUAAGUAACGAUAAAGCGGGUGAAAAGCCCGCUCGCCGGAAGACCAAGGGUUCCUGUCCAACGUUAAUCGGGGCAGGGUGAGUCGACCCCUAAGGCGAGGCCGAAAGGCGUAGUCGAUGGGAAACAGGUUAAUAUUCCUGUACUUGGUGUUACUGCGAAGGGGGGACGGAGAAGGCUAUGUUGGCCGGGCGACGGUUGUCCCGGUUUAAGCGUGUAGGCUGGUUUUCCAGGCAAAUCCGGAAAAUCAAGGCUGAGGCGUGAUGACGAGGCACUACGGUGCUGAAGCAACAAAUGCCCUGCUUCCAGGAAAAGCCUCUAAGCAUCAGGUAACAUCAAAUCGUACCCCAAACCGACACAGGUGGUCAGGUAGAGAAUACCAAGGCGCUUGAGAGAACUCGGGUGAAGGAACUAGGCAAAAUGGUGCCGUAACUUCGGGAGAAGGCACGCUGAUAUGUAGGUGAAGUCCCUCGCGGAUGGAGCUGAAAUCAGUCGAAGAUACCAGCUGGCUGCAACUGUUUAUUAAAAACACAGCACUGUGCAAACACGAAAGUGGACGUAUACGGUGUGACGCCUGCCCGGUGCCGGAAGGUUAAUUGAUGGGGUUAGCGCAAGCGAAGCUCUUGAUCGAAGCCCCGGUAAACGGCGGCCGUAACUAUAACGGUCCUAAGGUAGCGAAAUUCCUUGUCGGGUAAGUUCCGACCUGCACGAAUGGCGUAAUGAUGGCCAGGCUGUCUCCACCCGAGACUCAGUGAAAUUGAACUCGCUGUGAAGAUGCAGUGUACCCGCGGCAAGACGGAAAGACCCCGUGAACCUUUACUAUAGCUUGACACUGAACAUUGAGCCUUGAUGUGUAGGAUAGGUGGGAGGCUUUGAAGUGUGGACGCCAGUCUGCAUGGAGCCGACCUUGAAAUACCACCCUUUAAUGUUUGAUGUUCUAACGUUGACCCGUAAUCCGGGUUGCGGACAGUGUCUGGUGGGUAGUUUGACUGGGGCGGUCUCCUCCUAAAGAGUAACGGAGGAGCACGAAGGUUGGCUAAUCCUGGUCGGACAUCAGGAGGUUAGUGCAAUGGCAUAAGCCAGCUUGACUGCGAGCGUGACGGCGCGAGCAGGUGCGAAAGCAGGUCAUAGUGAUCCGGUGGUUCUGAAUGGAAGGGCCAUCGCUCAACGGAUAAAAGGUACUCCGGGGAUAACAGGCUGAUACCGCCCAAGAGUUCAUAUCGACGGCGGUGUUUGGCACCUCGAUGUCGGCUCAUCACAUCCUGGGGCUGAAGUAGGUCCCAAGGGUAUGGCUGUUCGCCAUUUAAAGUGGUACGCGAGCUGGGUUUAGAACGUCGUGAGACAGUUCGGUCCCUAUCUGCCGUGGGCGCUGGAGAACUGAGGGGGGCUGCUCCUAGUACGAGAGGACCGGAGUGGACGCAUCACUGGUGUUCGGGUUGUCAUGCCAAUGGCACUGCCCGGUAGCUAAAUGCGGAAGAGAUAAGUGCUGAAAGCAUCUAAGCACGAAACUUGCCCCGAGAUGAGUUCUCCCUGACCCUUUAAGGGUCCUGAAGGAACGUUGAAGACGACGACGUUGAUAGGCCGGGUGUGUAAGCGCAGCGAUGCGUUGAGCUAACCGGUACUAAUGAACCGUGAGGCUUAACCUUACAACGCCGAAG